rnacentral:rRNA from 1 species
UACGAAGGGGGCUAGGCGUUGUUCGGAUUUACUGGGCGUAAAGCGCACGUAGGCGGAUUGUUAAGUCAGGGGUGAAAGUCCUGGAGCUCAACUCCAGAACUGCCUUUGAUACUGGAGAGCUUGAGUCCGGAAGAGGUGAGUGGAACUCCGAGUGUAGAGGUGAAAAUUCGUAGAUAUUCGGAAGAACACCAGUGGCGAAGGCGGCUCACUGGUCCGGUACUGACGCUGAUGUGCGAAAGCGUGGGGAGCAAACAGG